rnacentral:lncRNA from 1 species
GGGAUCUUUGCUUCUCUUCUCGCAGGGAUGGAUUAGAAAUAACCACCAGUAGUGACUCCAGAGGAGCUGGCCGUCUGCAGAGGCUGGAAUGUCUUGACUACAGCUGCUGACCUGUUGCUGUACACUGCCGGUCCCCCGUGAUGUCAGCCCCAGGUGGUCUUGCUUCUUCUCCAGCUCCUGAAGAAGAUGGAUCCACAAUGAGCCAUGUAAUUUCCCUCGUGCAUUUUCUGAGCCAGUGGUGGAUCAGAGAGCUAGAAGAGGCUUCAGAAGAUGCAUGAGUGGCGUCUCUUUCUUCCAACAGGGCUGCCUCUCUUAGCAAGGGGCAACUUCAGAUGGAAGGCUGCCUCCUGGCUGAAAGUGGGGAAAAGAGAAAUAAUCCGAAUACUUGGAAUUCCAAAAGUUGUGCUGUGCCAGGGAAACACAUACGAUAGAGCGUGCUGAAGUCAGUUCUCACCUUCCACCACGUGGGGUCCUGGGGACCAAACUCAGGUCAUCAGGCGUGGUGGUAAGCGUCUUCACCUGAUGACCCAUCUUGCUGGCCCCCAAGAAACGGGUUAAAACAAUACUGUUUCCUAGCACUCGAAGAGACUUUAUUGUUGAUUUUAUGGUUCCUGGCAGUCAUCCAGGUUGGGUUUCCCUCCCUUCAUUAAACCCCUCUCACACACACAAUGGUGUGUCUCCUAGGUGAUUCUAAAUUCUGUCAAGUUGGCAGGAUCAACCUUUGCGCCAUCUCUCCCUGUCACUCAUUUGCUGAGCACAAGCCUGCUUUGACUUUACCGUGGAUCCAAAUUUCCAAGCAAGAAGAGGAAGAGAACUUUAUAAGAAUGGUGAUGGAUUCUCAUGACUCAACAGGAGGCUGAACUGAGGGGUUUGGAUCCAUGUCUGUUUUCUUUCUGCCUUCAAAUGCUAGCAGCUAACAUACUGGCUUCCCUUCCUGCUGGGACACAGCCCCUGAAGUACCUUGCUGUGUUCAGAGCUUGGGCGUCUGGCUUCAAGAAACUGUCUACUGGUUAAAAGACCUAUAGCCAAAUGACUCUGGGCUAUGCUGUCACUGUCUCCCCUCUGGCAGUCUCAGGGCUCCUUGAUGAGGGGAGGAGCCAGAACCCCAUGCUGUUUUCCUUCCCUGGGGACACACUGAGCUCUGCCUCACUGAGCUCUGCCUCCUGCUCCAUCCAGGAAUUCUGAGACCCCAGCACAGCACUCUUGACCUUUUCAGGAGCCCUCCCUCACCCCUUGUGAUCACUGUCCUGUGAGCCUGGGGGUGCAUGAGCAAACACAGUGCUGUGUAGCUCUCUGAAGAGGGCAGGUUCAGGAGAUGGCAACCCCCAUAGGGUGACUACAUUGUUUCCAUUGCAUCCUGAGCAACAUGGUUGCAUAAUUAUUUUGGCAAAUUAUUUUGGGAAAACCGGUAUAUCCAGAGGCUCUCCUCCAUGUACAGAGCUGACACACUACAGAUAGAUUAUGGUUGGUUUUUGUUUGUUUGUUUGUUUUUGUUAUUUACUAUUUUAGGGGCCACCUCUAGGCCCAACGGGCCAAUUGGUUGUAGCCACAUAGUAGAGGCUUUAAUGGAACAUGGAAAGGGGCCUUCAAUCAGAGAGUUUCAACCAAGAGCACCAAGAGCAUGGGCUGUUUUCAGAAGUGGUAAGAAUCCUACGUCCUAGGCACUGGAGAGAUGGCUCAGCCGUUAAGAGCACUGACUGCUCUUCCAGAGGCCUUCAGUUCAAUUCCCAGCAACCACAUGACAGUUCACAGCCAUCUGUAACAGGAUCUGAUAUCCCCUUCUGGUACCUCUGAAUGCAGGGACAGUGUACAUAGAUACAUA